rnacentral:snRNA from 1 species
AUACUUACCUGGCAAUCCUUGAUCAUCAAGGAGGCUCCUUCGAGCACAGGUCUCUUAUUGCACUGCAAGAGAUCAACGCUCGCAACUUCCACGAAUUGUGGUUGUUUAGGAUGCAAAUUUUUAGGUAGUUGGGACAGCGUUUGCGCUGUCCCAU